rnacentral:tRNA from 2 species
GCGGGUAUGAUCUAGGGGUAGGAUAUUGGCUUCCCAAGCCAAUAGCCCGGGUUCGAAUCCCGGUACCCGCA